rnacentral:lncRNA from 1 species
UUGUUGAGAGGCAUAUCAGUAAUUAUUUCACACUGAAAAAAAUAAAAUCUAAACUACAAUUAGACAUGAAAGAGAAGUGUAUAGCUUUAACGUUCAUUCAUUCAAAAAUUAUUAAAUAAAAGACAAAACAGACAUUAAUUAACUUACAUACUGAAGUUCUAAUCAGAACUACCGUAUUAGCAUCCAAGUUAUUAAGAUCAAAGUUAAUCUCCAAUCCAUAAUUUUCACC